AUUUAUAUACGUUUAAAAAUUUAUAUACGUUAAAACAUGAAAGUUCUAUGUGUAUAUAGCUUUAAGGUCAAAUUGUGCUACAAGAUUUGUGAGGCAGGCACUUGUUUGGCUAUUUGAAGCCAUUCUCAACCCCUUUCUCUGUUGCUUCCUUUCUACUAUAGAGGAUGAAAAUCCAGAGUCUCCCUUCACCCUUCACCAGCCUCUCUCGUAGGCAAGGGUGGCCAUGUGACCCGUUCUGGCUAAUAAGAUAUAAGGGGAACUCUACUCAGGUCUUCCAGGAAAGAUAUUUUCCUUUCUAAUUGUGGUGAAGACUGCCAGCCUCUUUUGUAGCUAGUUGUGGCUUUGUGACUAAAUCCUGGCCAGCAGAAUAUAAGCAAAAGUGUUUUGUGGCAACUUUCAGGAAAUUUCAUCAAAAGAAAGCUCUCAAGUGUCCUUUUUAUUCCUCCUUCCUCCAUCCUGCUGCCUGUAAUGUUGACAUGAUGGCUGGAGCUGCUGUAACCUUCUGGAACCAUGAAGUCACCUUGAGAAAGGAAACUGUGACUAGUAGAAUGACAAGAGAGAUGGAGCCUUGUUCUCUGAAGGGAUCACAGAAACACACUAGGCACGUGCUCACAUAUGGGCUUUAAUUGAUACUCUGCCUGGGAAUUGGUGUGGCAUCAUGGGAAAUAUAAAGGAAGUGAAGUGAUCACCUGUAUGAGAGUGAUGAGAUUAAUAUACUCAAAUAAUCAAAGGAGAAAAUAAAGAGUAAGUACAACUGGAUUCUCAUGCCUGCAAAUAGUAGGUGCUCAAAAGCAUUUGUUGGUUGGGUGAUUGGGAGAAGUCAAUGAUCUAGAAUCCUCAAAGAAACCUAAAGAAAAGGUUCAAGCAAGAGGCAGGAUAUAAGCUGGAUUUUGAAAGAUCAGCUGUAUUUAGAUAGAUAAGAGGGAAGUCCUACCCAGCAGUGGAGAACAUUGAACAAAACUGAAGA
rnacentral:lncRNA from 1 species